rnacentral:rRNA from 1 species
AUACCAGCAGCCCAAGUGGUGACCACGAUUAUUGGGCCUAAAGCGCUCGUAGCCGGGUCAGCAAGUCCUUUGAGAAAUCGGGCCGCCUAACGGUUCGGCGUGCAAGGGGUACUGUUGGUCUUGAGGCCGGGAGAGGUCGGAGGUACUCCUGGGGUAGCGGUGAAAUGCUCUAAUCCUGGGGGGACCACCAGUGGCGAAGGCGUCCGACCAGAACGGACCUGACGGUGAGGGGCGAAGGCUAGGGGAGCGAACGGGAUUAGAUACCCGAGUAGUCC